rnacentral:rRNA from 1 species
CAGGCCUAACACAUGCAAGUCGAACGAGCCUUUCGGGGCUAGUGGCGGACGGGUGAGUAACGCGUGGGAACGUGCCCUAAGGUUCGGAACAACUGAGGGAAACUUCAGCUAAUACCGGAUGUGCCCGGAAGGGGAAAGAUUUAUCGCCUUAGGAGCGGCCCGCGUCUGAUUAGCUAGUUGGUGGGGUAAAGGCCCACCAAGGCUUCGAUCAGUAGCUGGUCUGAGAGGAUGGCCAGCCACACUGGGACUGAGACACGGCCCAGACUCCUACGGGAGGCAGCAGUGGGGAAUCUUGCGCAAUGGGCGAAAGCCUGACGCAGCCAUGCCGCGUGGAUGAUGAAGGUCUUAGGAUUGUAAAAUCCUUUCAGCGGGGACGAUAAUGACGGUAUCCGCAGAAGAAGCCCCGGCUAUCAUGGUGCCAGCAGCCGCGGUUAA